rnacentral:misc_RNA from 1 species
CUGCCCAUCAAGCCCAGCUUGUGUGUUGGGCCCCGUCCCGCCCCCCGGGGUGGGACGGGCCCGAAAGGCAGCGGCGGCACCGCGUCCGGUUCCUCGAGCGUAUGGGGCUCUGUCACCCGCUCUGGAGGCCCGGCCGGCGCCCGCCGACCCCCAACCUUUCUCACCA